CUAGGUAAUUAAAUUGUUUAGAAUUUAUUUUCUUUUCAUGCAAAUUUCAUGUUCACAAUCAAAUGCACCCCAAAUGAUUCUCAGUGUUACUUCAAUUUGAUCGACUAGAACAGUUCAAUAGGAUACUGUGAUCAAUUGAAGGUAGCUAUAUAACACAAGCUGAAUAAGUGAUGACACCAGAAGGAACAACAGAGCCAUCUAUAUGAAGUAAUACUAAUGGUGUAAAACUGAAUGGCUAAUUCUGCGUGGCGCCCCCUAUUUGAAACUGAAUGGUCUGUCCAUGCUUGGCUGGCUUGGACAGAAGCAUGGCACGGAUUUCCUGAAGGUUCAGCUCAGCUGGUAUUUCUGACGGGCCAGUCUUAGCUGUCUAUAAGAAGACAAGGUACAACCGAGCCUCUGUUGUGCCCAUAUAGGUUUUCUUUUUCUAUAGCUNUGUCCAUGCUUGGCUGGCUUGGACAGAAGCAUGGCACGGAUUUCCUGAAGGUUCAGCUCAGCUGGUAUUUCUGACGGGCCAUUCUUAGCUGUCUAUAAGAAGACAAGGUACAACCGAGCCUCUGUUGUGCCCAUAUAGGUUUUCUUUUUCUAUAGCUUGUGAUAACGGUUUUCUUACGUAGGCUUGGACACUUAGACACAGAAUGGCCAGCUUGGAAAAGUGGGUCACAACCUGAAUCGGGUCUAAACUACCCUACCCAGCUUAAUACCAAUAAGGACAAUCAAAGAGGUUCUAUCUAUCAAUCUCUUUCAUAAAUGAGCUGGCCCUGAGUCACUAUUCACCCCUGGAGCAAGGUUGUGAUAAAAUGACAUGAUCCUGAGGUCCCCUCAUAGACAUUCUCAAUACUUCCUCGUUUUCUGUCUUCGAUAGCAUUCCCUUUGCACUAACUUUGCAAGAACGCUUAUCUGAUUCCUAUGCAAGAAUUUCAUGGUUUUGAUGUCGUUUUUCUAAGUAGACUGACUUUUACUUUUCUUACCCAUUCACUAAUUUCUUCUUACAAGAUAAAUCAAUUCACGCAUCAAUUUGGAAUUUCUUACCCUGUUUUUAUUAGUCCAUUACUCCAUUUGAUGGAAAUUUAAUCUUUGCAUGACUCCAAAGUACGUAGCUGUUCUACCAUUUCUAUGGGGUUCAGGAGCAAUUCAAGCUAACCAUUUAUUAGUUGUUUUACCUUUUAUAGCCUUUCAUAGCAUGCAUUGAGAUCUCAACCAUCAUUAGUAAAAAAAUUCGACUUUGGAUUCAGUGUCAUUAUAAGUUCACUUGAAUUAGGGUAGUUUGAAACUUGCAAGUUCAAAGUUUAUCAAGUGUAAAGCAAGUUGAUUAGCUGUUCAUGACAAUCUGAUCAAUGCUUGUGUAUGUUUGACUCAAUUGAUCGAACACUGACGUCGCAAGUUUUGAUGUUUCAGACAUCGCAUUAGUCAUUUUCACAAAUGUUGAAUCACUAUGUUUUUUGGUAGUCUAACCCUUAGACGAGGAAUUGUUUUCAUGAGACCUAAUUUGUUUCACAUUCGGGUGUAUGGUCCUAGUCAAUUAGCUUACACAAGUAUAAGAAAUUUGUCUCCAACGACGGGAUAAAGUGGAAUAAAUUAUUGAAUUUUAAUGGAAUAAAGGUUAAACCCCAAUCUUGAGGGUCCUUACCGCCCCUCCCUUUGAACUUUGUGAGGAAGGUAAAUCGCGGGAUGUGCUCCAACAUAUCAGGGAACAAGAGCUGUUUGUACACUGUGCCUACAAGGAGUUCAAUUCCAUGUCUUUGGAAUCGAACCCCCAUACUGCGACUGUCCGCAGGGCGUGAGAUAACUUCACUCCUGUCCUUUGCACCA
rnacentral:lncRNA from 1 species